UACGUAGGGCGCAAGCGUUUGUCCGGAAUUAUUGGGCGUAAAGAGCUCGUAGGCGGCUUGUCACGUCGGGUGUGAAAGCCCGGGGCUUAACCCCCGGGUCUGCAUUCGAUACGGGCAGGCUAGAGUGUGGUAGGGGAGAUCGGAAUUCCUGGUGUAGCGGUGAAAUGCGCAGAUAUCAGGAGGAACACCGGUGGCGAAGGCGGAUCUCUGGGCCAUUACUGACGCUGAGGCGCGAAAGCGUGGGGAGCAAACAGG
rnacentral:rRNA from 1 species